rnacentral:tRNA from 1 species
GGGAGUGUAGCUCAAUGGAUAGAGCGCUGCGCUUCGGACGCAGAUGUUGUGGGUUCGAGUCCUACCACUCUCA